CAAUCCCCUUAGUGGCGAACGGGUGAGUAACACGUAGCUAACCUGCCCCUUGGACCGGGAUAACCGGGCGAAAGCCCAGCUAAUACCGGAUACGCUCUGAGGAGGAAAGCGGGGGACCGAAAGGCCUCGCGCUGAGGGAGGGGGCUGCGGCCUAUUAGCUAGUUGGCGGGGUAACGGCCCACCAAGGCGAUGAUGGGUAGCUGAUCUGAGAGGAUGAUCAGCCACACUGGGACUGAGAUACGGCCCAGACUCCUACGGGAGGCAGCAGUUAAGAAUCUUGCGCAAUGGGCGAAAGCCUGACGCAGCGACGCCGCGUGGAGGAUGACGGCCCUCGGGUUGUAAACUCCUUUUCCUAGGGACGAAAUAAGGAAGCUAAUACCUUCCCCACUGACGGUACCUGGGGAAUAAGCCCCGGCCAAUUACGUGCCAGCAGCCGCGGUAAUACGUAAGGGGCAAGCGUUGUCCGGAAUCACUGGGCGUAAAGCGCGCGUAGGCGGUUUAGUAAGUCGGGUGUGAAAUCCUCGGGCUUAACCCGAGAACUGCGCCCGAAACUGCUUCACUGGAGGGACGGAGAGGUGCAUAGAAUUCCCGGUGUAGGGGUGAAAUCCAUAGAGAUCGGGAGGAAUACCAAUGGCGAAGGCAGUGCACUGGACGUCACCUGACGCUGAGGUGCGAAAGCGUGGGGAGCGAACGGG
rnacentral:rRNA from 1 species